rnacentral:tRNA from 1 species
GCGGCAUAGCCAAGUGGUAAGGCAGCGGCCUGCAAAGCCGUUAUUCGGCGGUUCGAAUCCGCCUGCCG